AGGGAAAGGAGAAACUGUUAAAAAUCAAUCAGAUCUCAUGAGACUUAUUCACUACUAUGGGAACAGUAUGGGGGGAAAACUCCCUCGUGAUUCAUUUAUCCACCACCAGGUUCCUCCC